rnacentral:lncRNA from 9 species
CAUCAGCUUCAAUGUCAGCUCUUUUUUCUCGCCUCUGAAGCGCACAGUGCUGAGAGACCCUAUCUAAUUCUUACUGUGGGAACUUCGCAACUGCCCUGGCAUAAUGUUGGCUGUACUCAAUCUAAACUUUGUGUACACCAAGUUUCUAGCGCAAAAUCAACUGUCGGUGCGCUAUUUGUUGUUUAAAAAAGGAAAGAAAAUACGUAAGGCCAUUAGGCAAGCUCUCUUCUGGGACUGCUGUUAUAAUUCAGAUUGAGCUCUUUUGAGACACAAUAUGUUGUGGUGGGGGUUCAGUGUCUUCCCCAGCAAAGAGUCUGCCCUUGACCCGGGAAGCCUGGGCCUCAGAUGCCUACUCAGGCUGGCUGUGGAGAACCAGGGAAGCUGAUAAAUUGUGUCUCAGACGCUAGUACAUACAUGCUUGGAACACCUCCGUUGUGUCACGUGUUCUACUGCCCUAAAUGGCUUCACGCAUCCUCACCUCCCAGGUUCUGGAAGAAGAAUGCAGAGAAAACAUCUAUCCCAGCCGCAAUGCCAGAGACACAUGGGUUUCUCUAAUGAUGACCUCCAGAAUGAUGCAUGCAUACCUCAGGAAGUAAGAUGAUCCAAAAAGGUACCAAAAUAAAAUAUUAGAACUUUCUUUAACUAGUGUUUAUCACAUUCAUUU